UUCCGGUUGAUCCUGCCGGAGGUCACUGCUAUUGGGGUUCGGCUAAGCCAUGCGAGCGGAGGGCGCGGUCGAAAGAUCGUGGCCCCGCACACGGCUCAGUAACACGUAGUCAACCUACCCUUGGGACGGGGACAACCUCGGGAAACUGAGGCUAAUUCCCGAUAGGCGAGGGACGCUGGAAUGCCUCCUCGCCCAAAGCUCCGGCGCCCGAGGAUGGGACUGCGGCCUAUCAGGCUGUUGGUGGUGUGACGGACCACCAAACCUACGACGGGUACGGGCGAUGGGAGUCGGAGCCCGGAGAUGGGGACUGAGACAAGGCCCCAGGCCCUACGGGGCGCAGCAGGCGCGAAAACUCCGCAAUGCGCGCAAGCGUGACGGGGGGAUCCCAAGUGCCGUUGGUCUUUUGAUCGACGGCUUUUCGGAAGUCUAAGAAGCUUCCAGAAUAAGGGCUGGGUAAGACUGGUGCCAGCCGCCGCGGUAACACCAGCAGCCCAAGUGGUGACCACGAUUAUUGGGCCUAAAGCGCUCGUAGCCGGGUCAGCAAGUCCCUUGUGAAAUCGGACCGCCUAACGGUUCGGCGUGCAAGGGGUACUGUUGGUCUUGAGGCCGGGAGAGGUCGGAGGUACUCCUGGGGUAGCGGUGAAAUGCUCUAAUCCUGGGGGGACCACCAGUGGCGAAGGCGUCCGACCAGAACGGACCUGACGGUGAGGGGCGAAGGCUAGGGGAGCGAACGGGAUUAGAUACCCCGGUAGUCCUAGCUGUAAAGCAUGCGGGCCAGGUGUCUAGUGCUCCUCGAGAGCACUAGGUGCCGGAGGGAAGCCGUUAAGCCCGCCGCCUGGAAGUACGGCCGCAAGGCUGAAACUUAAAGAAUUGGCGGGGGAGCACCACAGGGGUGGGACCUGCGUUCAUUGGACUCAACGCCGGA
rnacentral:rRNA from 1 species